CUACGGGAUGCAGCAGUGAGGAAUAUUGCACAAUGGGGGGAACCCUGAUGCAGCAACGCCGCGUGGAGGAUGACGCGUUUCGGUGUGUAAACUCCUUUUAUAUGUCAAGAAAAUGACGGUAGCAUAUGAAUAAGCACCGGCUAACUCCGUGCCAGCAGCCGCGGUAAUACGGAGGGUGCAAGCGUUACUCGGAAUCACUGGGCGUAAAGGACGCGUAGGCGGGAUAUCAAGUCAGGUGUGAAAUCCUACAGCUUAACUGUAGAACUGCACUUGAAACUGGUAACCUAGAGUAUGGGAGGGGGAGAUGGAAUUAGUGGUGUAGGGGUAAAAUCCGUAGAUAUCACUAGGAAUACCUAAAGCGAAGGCGAUCUCCUGGAACAUUACUGACGCUAAGGCGUGAAAGCGUGGGGAGCAAACAGGAUUAGAUACCCGGGUAGUC
rnacentral:rRNA from 1 species